CCUACGGGUGGCAGCAGUGAGGAAUAUUGGUCAAUGGGCGCGAGCCUGAACCAGCGAAGUAGCGUGAAGGAUGACUGCCCUAGGGGUUGUAAACUUCUUUUAUAAAGGAAUAAAGUGAGGCACGUGAGCCUUUUUGUAUGUACUUUAUGUAUAAGGAUCGGCUAACUCCGUGCCAGCAGACGCGGUAAGACGGAGGAUCCGGGCGUUGUCCGGAUUGAGUGGGUGUAAAGGGAGCGUAGAUGGGUUGUUAAGUCAGUUGUGAAAGUUUGCGGCUCAACCGUAAAAUUGCAAUUGAUACUGGCAGUCUUGAGUACAGUUGAGGAAGGCGGAAUUCGUGGUGUAGCGGUGAAAUGCUUAGAUAUCACGAAGAACUCCGAUUGCGAAGGCAGCUUACUAAACUGCCACUGACAUUGAUGCUCGAAAGUGUGGGUAUCAAACAGGAUUAGAUACCCUAGUAGUC
rnacentral:rRNA from 1 species